GCAUUGGUGGUUCAAAGAUAGAAUUCUCAUCUUCCAUGCUGGAGACCCAAGUUCGAUUCUUGGCUGAUGGA
rnacentral:tRNA from 1 species